rnacentral:misc_RNA from 1 species
GCUUAACUAAUGAGUCCACCGCUGCGGCUUUGCACCACUCUUUCCUUGAUAAAAUUUAAGCGUUUUAUAAGAGGAUGCCGGGGAAGGUUUUCCGGUUUAUCCCGGAGGGCUUGUAGCUCAGUUGGUUAGAGCGCGCGCUUGAUAAGCGUGAGGUCGGAGGUUCAAGUCCUCCCAGGCCCACCAAUAAAGGCUCCACGCCCGGCCCCGUUUAGCG